GUGGGGAAUAUUGGACAAUGGGCGCAAGCCUGAUCCAGCCAUACCGCGUGGGUGAAGAAGGCCUUCGGGUUGUAAAGCCCUUUUGUUGGGAAAGAAAUCCUGCCGGUUAAUAACCAGUAGGGAUGACGGUACCCAAAGAAUAAGCACCGGCUAACUUCGUGCCAGCAGCCGCGGUAAUACGAAGGGUGCAAGCGUUACUCGGAAUUACUGGGCGUAAAGCGUGCGUAGGUGGUUGUUUAAGUCUGUCGUGAAAGCCCUGGGCUCAACCUGGGAAUUGCGAUGGAUACUGGGCGACUAGAGUGUGGUAGAGGAUAGUGGAAUUUCCGGUGUAGCAGUGAAAUGCGUAGAGAUCGGAAGGAACAUCUGUGGCGAAGGCGACUAUCUGGGCCAACACUGACACUGAGGCACGAAAGCGUGGGGAGCAAACAGGAUUAGAAACCCCGGUAGUCC
rnacentral:rRNA from 1 species